GCAAGUCUAAGACAUUAGUAAUCAGAGCAAGAGCAUGAACUUGAAGAAGGUCUUGAGGGGAAAGUGACAAUAACAGCCACUGUUGUACAGCCACGCACGUGAACGGAUAGAUCUUGAGGACGCUGGUGGAGUUCUCUUUCAGGAAAAGUUAUCUCUUCUUGGGAUUGCUGGACAACCUCCAUAUCACCUGCUACUCAUCCACUGAGCAGAUGCAUUGAGAUAUGUGAAAACCAUGGCUUCUGAACAGUUUCUGAGCUUCCUUCGGGCAUGGAACCCCACUGUGGCUGAAUAUAAGAGAGUGGUAUGGAGCUAGGACCUGAAAAGAGACGGCACCAGAAAUUGCAGAGUAAAGGAAAUGGGGCCAAGUGGACAGGAAAAAUUGCCUCAUGAAAUGAAAAGAUUCAUGACGUGGGAACACGUGGACAAACAUAUGUAAGCCUGGUGUGACUUGAUGGGUGACACUUCGAAAGUCUCCACGCCUGUGAUUCUCUGCCGAACGUUAAAGAAUAGAAAGGAGCCAAGGGCUGGUGAGCGUGGGGAGAAGACCCAGCUGUGAAGGGUUUGUGAAGACCCAGCUG